ACUAUCAGCAUGUCCCACAAAUGCCAAGUAUGUCAAGAAUACUUGGUCCCAGAUACUCAGUAUCCUCCCCAGAAGCUGAUCAAAAGUCUCUCCCCUGGAGAGUGCUCCCUGGAGAGUACCAGCUGACCUGAGGGCUGAAGGACAAUCAGACAUGAGACCCACCUGACAUGGGUAAAGUAAUGCAGUUGAGAAAUAAGGCUCCAUGAGGCUGAAGUCAGGGCCUCUAAGUAAAGAAGACAUGAAAGAAGUAGAAUCCACAGACCUUGGUAUUCUGACUUGGGCAGCCAGUGGAUGGAUGUGCCUUCUGUUCAGGUCACCCUUUAUUCAGCCCUCUUCUGACCACUCCAGCUCAUAAGUCACCUC